AACAGUGGCCUACCUUGCAGACACUGUUCAGGACAUCCAAUGUUGUCUCACCGGGCUGCACGAUGGCCAGGACUGGCUGAUUGUUUGGCAGACUCACCCAGGAGGGCUUCAGACAGACAACAGGCUGGAGGGGCCCGUAACCAGUACCUCCCCCAACUUCCCUGAACUCCCAGGCUGCUCAGCACCAUCUGGCUUCCCUCCUGGCCUAUCUAAGAUUCCUCUGCUGGGGGGAUGAAAGGUUUACAUGAGGCAUAUUAAAAUCUUCUGCUCUCUUAUUUCCUCUUAUGUUAACAAUCGGACUCCCCAGAAUAAAUACAGUGUCAUAGAAGGGGCCAGCCUGUCAGAGGUGAAAAAUCUUUGCUGGUAAUGUGAGGGUUCUUGCUGUGUAUUAGUAAAAGUCAAGGCAUGCUACCUCUUGUGCAUUUCUUUACGGUCAUCCCAUUCCCCCCAACCCCCGCCAGCUGAGGUUGGGCGUGGGUGGAAGGAAAUUGAUCUCUCCUCCUGCCGCAGGGGGCCCUCACAGCAAGAGUGGUUUAUUGCCCCAGUUUUUCUUCAGUAUGCGGGGUUCAGACAGAGGCCUGUCUUUUCCUCUCCCACACUCUCGACUGCCUUUUAUCGCUUCUCAUGAACUAUGGAGGUGGCAUGCUUAUCCUUGCACAACCUCUGCGUAAUUUAACCAUUUUCUUUCUAGGUUUUGUGAAAUCACAAUAUUUACUCAUCUGUGAUAAAUAAUCAUAAACAUCCAAAUGAGCUCUAUGCCGAUUUCUUUGUUAAAACAUUUGUUCUGAUGUUGAGUUAUCUGUAAAUUUGUGUAAGCACAGGUAAGAACAGAUGCUCCGAAACGUUAUGGCACUUAGGUACCUUAUAUCUGCAUAAUUCGAGUUAAUGAUCUGCAAAUAUCAGAUUGGGUUUCUCUCAGAGAUCACCAGACAGUGAUGUCUCUUGAGGAUGGUUUAUGUGAUUCUGAUUUAGCUAAAAUUGCCCUAAGCAACUGAAAACAAUAGAUGGAUAUCUGUCAAAAAUGAUGUAGGUUUUUGAUUUGAUAUAUAAUAAUCUGUAAAUUUUGAACCCCAAUUAUAAUGAAAUUGGAACAUAGAGUAAAAUUUAAAUAAAAACAGAAUAUAAUGAUUUGUAAAUCCUGUUCAACCUAUAACCAUAUGAAUCCACUACAAAGACAAAACUAUAUUUAAUGGUCAAACUGAUAAAUUUGAUUGUUUUGUUUGCAAAUAAUGGCUAAUUUAGAAUCUGAUGCUUGCAACACGUUCCAUAAAACGCUAGAACAGGGACAUGGUAACCACUGUGUUACAAGAGAAAAAGCUGCACAAGGUGUUUAUGUAAAACAAGUACAGCACUCUAAAAUGGUGUUUACUCCCCUUUUUUUUCCCUUUUUUGUCAUGUUUUGUCUCGUUUUCAACCCAAAACUGUAUUUUACUGCAGGUUUGUGUGAUUUACCAACACAAAGUAAUGCUUAAAUGUAACAUUGGAUUAAAAUUAUACAUAGUUUAUCUAGUUUUUUCACAAAUGGAAACCCAAUAAGUGUGCAAGUAUUGGUAUUCACCCCCCUCCAAAAGAAUCAAACUAUAACCACAAAUUGCUGCAAUUUGCACAUAUAGAGAUUUACAUUUCAAUUCUUGCUGCAGAUUCUUGAUCGGUUAGGUCUGAACUUUGAUUGGGCCAUUCAAACACAUUAAAAUUGUUUUAUCUAAACCAUUUUAGGAUUGUUAUCCUGCUGGAAAUUAAACAUACACUCUAGUCAUCUCCAUCCUCUAACAGGUUUUCUUCCAGGAAUGCCCUGUAUUUAACUCCAUUCAUCUUUCUUUCAACCCUGAUCUUCCCUUCCACUGCUGAUGAAAAGCACUCCCAAAGCAUGAUGCUGCCACUAUCAUGUUUCACAUUGGGGAUGAUGUGUUCCAGGUGAUACAAAAAGUUGUUCAUGGUCACAUUUGGCAUUUUGCAUGUAGGUCGAAAAGUUACAUUUUGGUCUCAGCGCACCUUCUUUCAUGUUUGCUGGGUUUCCUAGAUAGUAAAGAAGUCGGAAUAUACAUGCACACCAUAUUUUUUCAGUUUUUAUUUUAUGAAACAAAUCUGAAAAUUGUGCAUCAUUCUUUUGAAGAACACCAUACCCACCACCAAAUGUUGCCACCGCCACAUUUCAACAUGGUUUAUAGUGACAAAGGGGGUUCAUUGUAACAUUUUUCACCAAAGAUACCGUUUUCCAUGUAGAUAAACAAGCUUAAUUUUCAUUUCCUUUGACCAAAACACCCUUUUCCACAUGUUUGCUGUGAACAAGGCCUUUAACAAAUUGUAAACAGGAUUUCCAAUGUUUUUUUUAACAAUGGCUUUGAUGCCAUUCUUCAAUUUAAAAAUCAUUUAGCAUUGUUUCUUUAGGGUAUCAGAGUAUACGAAUAAAUGCCAUAUUUUUGCUGAGUUUCAUUUGUAAAAUGCAUUUAAUUUUUACUUUACAAUAGUGCUGUACUUUAUGCUCAUAUAAAAUCUCAAUUAAAUGAAUUUAGGUUUGUGGC